rnacentral:sRNA from 1 species
AAAUGAAUUUUAUCAUCUCAGUUCUUUAAAUCUUCAUCAUUAUUUCGUCAAAUACAUUAAAAUAGCCAGAAAAAAUCAGUAUAUAGAUGCUAGAUCAUGUGUUUGUGUGUGGAUUUUAUUUUCAUUUUUUCGCCUCAUUCAUUAUUUCGCUUGAUUCAUUAUUUUGCCUAAUUCAUUACUUAGAUAGUUUUUGUAUACAAUAAAAAUGCAACUUUUGUGUUAUACACUAGUUUUAUGAUUCUGAAUGCUUACAACUUUUGUCUCAUAUGGUUUUCAUCUCUUUUAACCUUUGGAUUUUUAGAUACAACAUAUUAGUGCAGAUCUCGUACGUUUUGUGUUGUUCUUCACAGUGUAGAGAUGAUAGAUAAGAGAAGAAAUACAACAAAAGUGAAAGGAAAAGUUCGAGCAACUGAUGACGUGGUAAACAGUUUUUCCUUCCAUUUUUGUAGAUUAGUGAUAUCUAAAAUCUACGUAUUAUUAUUAAU